AGAAUCAACGCUGGCGGCGUGCCUAACACAUGCAAGUCGCACGGAGAAAGGGUAGACGAAUACCUGAGUAAAGUGGCGCACGGGUGAGUAACACGUGAAUUAUCUACCUCCGAGUGGGGAAUAACUGAGAGAAAUCUUAGCUAAUACCGCAUAACACUUACGAGUCAAAGCAGCAAUGCGCUUGGAGAGGAGUUCGCGGCCGAUUAGUUAGUUGGCGGGGUAAUGGCCCACCAAGACGAUGAUCGGUA
rnacentral:rRNA from 1 species